GAAAGGUGCUCAUUAAUCCAUAUCAAAGUGUAACACAGUUUUUAAAAUAUAUCAGUUUUCCAAUGCACUGCAGUUUCCAAUGACUUGCGGUAUUACAUGCAACAGUAUUAAAUGCAAAUUUAAAUUAAACAGUUUUAAAUGCAACACAGCUUAAAUGCUUCCUAGCAAAAGCACAACCACAUAAUGUACCACAAUCUUAAAAAUAAGGUACAGCUGUAUAAU